CGCUUCUUGAUCUUUAUCUCCACGAGGCGGGGUCCUCCGAUCAUCCCCACCAAGCGCCGCCUCUCCUCCUCCUCCUCAACAUCCAUCCUCUCUCUCUCUCUCUCUCUCUCUCUCUCUCUCAGGUUCUCUUCCAUCUCUGCUAUUUUUGACCCUACUCCUUGGCAUCACUUAGCUUCUAAUGCUGCUUCUUGGGAUCGAUGGAGGAGCGUGUUCUUAACUAAAAUUUCUUGGUUUCUUUAAAUUUUUCUUGUUUUCUUCAAAGUUUGCUCGUGUUCUUUAAAUUGUUGGUCUUCUACGCGAAUGUGGUUUGACGAUCUCUUUGCGUCCACUUAUCCCGAUUCUUGAUGUAUGGAGAAGAGAAGACUGCCUUAUCUUGAUUUCCCUUUUUUCCAGAUGCUAAUUUAAAAAAAAGAUGAACUGGUUUUACGAGAAUAUUUGUUCUUGAAGUAAUGGGAUAUUGCUGCUUCGUAAUUUUGAUGCUAUUCUUCCACUGACGUUCAUUUGAUCAUUUUCCUAAGGUGAUUUCGAGUUGAAAACCCGGUUCUUGGCUUCAAAAAGAAUCGGCAGUAAAUAUUUUACUGUCACUUAUGCUUUGGAAAAUUUUGUAGGACUGAUAAAGAGAUGUUUUAGACAUAUUAUUACCUUCUUGUUUUUAAUAAUGAAUUUUAUUUUUAAUUUUUUUUUCCAAGAAAAGUAACCAGCCUCAUAGUGAUGGUGUUUGUUCCGUUGUUUUUGGUACUUUGAGCCAAUUUGUUUUAUUUCUUACGUUUAUCUUUUAGAUGAUCCUUGGGUUCGUCAACUCGAAAGAUAAUGCUGCGCGUGUGGCAAUAUCUCAGGUAACAGAGAACCCCUUUUUUUUCGGAGCUAGAUAGAGGAGGAAUCUUAACAAGAUUUCUGGUCGAAUCAUGUGGAUGGAAUUUUAUUUCAUUUACUUUCUGCUGAAUAUAGAUUGGUUUCUGCACAAAGUUUAAGGUUCAAAAUGGCUAGAAAAAAUGAACAGGGGGACGAAGAACCAUUGAUUUCAACUCUUCGAUUCUUCAGAACCACAGAUAAAAGGCCUCUUGGUAGUGCUGGUGUCCUGGAUUCCGUUACUGGAGGCGCCAAUGGAGUUGGAGACUCCGAAGGUAUGGCUAUUACAGUUAACAGAUAGUUGAUAACGAGGCAGAGACUGCAGAUGCUACAGAAAAGACAUCCCUCCAAUCUUCGGGUGAAAAAUCUGGUAGGCAUUUCAUGUUCUGUCGCUAGAGAAUUGUUUACAUCUUUCCCCCUUUAGUGUUAAGGUAAUUGUUCUUUUGGUUAUGGCCCAUUGUAGGGUUGCAACUUCCAGGUUCUAGAAACUAGAAACCAUUCUCCUUCUUGCACAUCGAAAGAAAGUUUUACUCUUAGGUUUAAUUGUAUACAUGGGCCUGUCUAUGAUUUCCAUUUUUAGAUAGUUGAACUCAAAAGGCGUCAUAUGCAUUCUAACUACAAUGGGUUAUAUUCCCUGCACACAAAUGCACGCUUAAAUUCAGUUGAAUUGGAUGAUGGUAUAUAUUCAUGAAAACCUAUAGUUGCUGUCACAGAUUGAUACAUCGAAUGGUUCUGUGUCAAAUGCUGUGUGAAUUACUGCCAGACCUAUUUUCCUUCAUGCACCAUAAGACUUGACUUAGAAAUCCCGAUUAAUGAAAACAAUCUUUGUUAUUGCAUAAGUUACCUUCUCUUCCAUCUUUCAGCUUUAGAACAGAUUCUUAUGCGGAGCUGCUUUAUAGAAAAUCUUAUAGUUAUAGAGAUCAAAUCUAGGAAUUUAAAAUUCAUUGCAAUUCUGUUGGAGGACAGGUGAGCUUCAUCUUUAUCCUGUAUGUGUCAAGGCACAAUAUGGAGGCGAUAUAAUUGCAGGUCAUUUGAUUUCAUAUAUAAUGUUACUGCUGUGGUUUCUCUCUUAUUAAUUUUUUUUUUUGUGAUUAGCAGGCAAUUAACAUAGGAAAACAAAUUGAACGGGCACUUUUAGGGCAAUAUAAGGAAAUGCAAGUGUCUUCUUUAAGGAAUGUUAUUAUCAAUAAUGUAGUUAUACUGAUAUCAGCAAACUUUGUUGGAAUCUUAGAAUGUACACAUGCUCGAAUAUCUAUACCUAUACUGAAAAUACUGAUGGUCAAGGUUUUAAGAACCGGUAAUGGAGGGCAAUACUGAUUUUCUGAAAAACCAGUAUGGUACCAGGUAUACCGACGCAUGACAUUGGACUGUUUCCAUUACUGACACACCAUGUAUCAGUGCCAGUUUUCUAGGGAUGAUGUGAUACUGCUUAUACUGUCCCGUUCCAGUGGUUUUUAAAACCUUGUCGAUGGUAUUAGGAGCUUCGUUUUUCCAUUUUACAUAACAUGAAUCUCGAUGUGAUCUUUCGAAAAAGGGCAUGCCUAUGGUUUCCAUUAAAUGAACUUCCAAAGCUGGCAUUUAAUGUACACAUUCUGCUCAGAGCAUAGAAAUUUGUGGUAGAGAACUUGAUCACCAUAUACUUGGCUAUGAAGUGUUUAUUUACGGCACUUCCUGUCACUUGGCUAUGAAGUAACUCGCUAUUUAGGAGUUAGGGAAUGUUGGUGGACAAAGGAAUUGCCUAAUACUGUUUUUAUUGUCCUCCCAUGUUGUUUCUGCCUGUGUAGCUUUGGACAACACUGUUUUGAGUUCCAUGUCAUUAGAAAACUAUUUUCUUUUCUGAAUAACUGCUCUGAUUUGUCAAAACAUUGACUUUGGUCUUGACAUACAGCUAAGUGCAGGAGACUCCAUGAUGGUGUUGAACAGUUCCUUCUUGAGGCUUCUGAGACUUGUUUUUCUACCUGCUAUGAUUUGAUUCUGCAUGCUAAAGAUGGUUCAAUUCAUUGCAUAGAUGAUCAUAGGGAAAUUUCUGAAUUUGCAGAAUUACUAUUGGCGAUUUCUCCUCAAUAUAUGGUUCCUGGUAGUUCAACCGUCUCCCUUUAUCUUACUCCCUUGAUUUUCUUUAGUCCUAUAUGUACUAUGCAGUAAUAAUUAUGUUCAAUCCACACUCCAGCACCAUGGUGACAGAUCCAUAAGUCUCAUAUCUGUUGAGCCCGAGAUUUGCUAUCUCUUUCCAAUCAUCAUCUAUCAUUAUCAACAUCACUAGCCUUGCAGCAUGAGUCUACAGAACAUGAAACUACAGGUCCUUAUAUGUUUUUGUAUAUCCCACCCACCCCAACAAAAAAGAAAAAAAAAAUGCAUGUGAAGCUUUUCUUUACAAUUCUUAAUUCUUCUGAACCGAAAGAUCAAUGCAUGCAAUGUUGUUUCUUUCGUUCUUGCUUAUUGCAAUCUAUGUAUAUAUUAUGUGUUUUGUAUGCAUGAUUGCAAAUGGGUGUGGUUCUCUCUCAUGAUUUCAUUUGGAAAGCAGAAAUGGUGAAAAUAGAAGAACAGCUUGGGCUUCAUGGAAGAUAUUACUGGUUCCGUCUGCAAUAUGGUGACUUCAUCACCUCAAGAGAUCUAAUGUGUGGAAAGCAUUACGUUUUUUUCUUUUAGCCUCCUCCCAGCUAUGGUAGGUACGUUGCUCUUCUCCCUUUUUUUCUUGCCUUUAAUUGGAUUUCACUGUGAGUAGAUAAGCAUGCAGAUUUCUGCUCUAUAUACUGGAUUUCAGAGGUCUGCUAUUUUGAUACCCCUGUAUACAUUUAGAACUUACCCAUCAUAUAAAGGACUUAUAAUUUCUGUGUCUUGAGACUCUUGAAACAACUGGAAGCCUUUUUGACAUUACAAUUUUGUGGAACUUAGCCAUAGAAAUGAUUACAGUAAUGUGUUGUUUUGCAAAAUCUACUUUAGCCUUUUUUGGCAUUCUAAUUUGUUGAAGACUGAAAUUUUCUCAUAGAAUUUAUGUAAUUGAUAUUUUUGCCUGUUGCCCUCUUUUAUAACCUACUUCGUUAUGUAAUUGGUGUUAACAAGAGAAAAGCGGAGGGAGGGGGUGUGAAGAAAAGGUCUUGCUGUUUGCUACCUUUAUGAUGCCUUAAACCUGGCACCUCUGAGUGAAAUCACAGGACAUUAUUCUAUACCUGAUCUGUACUUGGAGAUCCUUCAACCAAUCUGCAUGGUGCUCGUCUCCUUUUUCUUUCUUUUUUCUUUUUUGAUGGAUGGGGAAGUGCACAACUUACCAGUUGUUGGGCUUUCUUCAGGCUACUUGGAGAUUUGAUCUUAUGGAUGUGGUAACCUUAGAAGGAAAUGCCUUCUACAUCACCGGGACACAAAAGGUUUUUAUGUGAACUUGAGCACCGGAAAUGUACUAGAUCUGAAACCGGCAAAGCCUGCUAAUGAGGCGAGAACACUUGUUGGUUGUUGAAUCAGUCCACACAAAGGAGAUUGACUCUCCAGAACAAGAGGAGACCAAGUCUUCAGCUGAGAAGACGAAAUCCUAGGACUCUGGGCUGUUACUUGAGUAAUCUGAAUUCUGUUGAAAUAUCUUGUAAAUCUAGUCACAUAUCACGUAGAGUUUGUUACAUCACUCCUAUAAAUUAGAAGGCUUGUACAUCAAAUCAAAACGAUAACAAAAAAGAGAAAUAGAGUUUUUUUGUAACCUCUAUUUAAAUUUCCAUACGGUAUCAGAGCCCCUCUCAGACAUACGUCCCAAAAUGUCUUCUCUAGUCUCCUCUACCUCAUCUGAAACCAUGACCUCCCAGCUACCUCUGUUCAACCCCAAUUCCACAGUCCACAUCACCUAACUUACCCGUACAAAUUAACCAAUUUGGAAAGCACAAAUGCUUCCCUACCUCAAGGGCCAAAAUGUUUUUGGCUAUAUUGAUGGCACCCUAAAAAUGCCCCCCAUGGAAAUCUCAUCCUCUGAUGACCCCACUAUCAAACUUCCCAAUCCUGACUAUGCAAUUUGGGAUAGACAGGAUAAUCUCAUCUUGAGUGCCAUUAACUCUUCUUUGAUAGAUGAAGUUCUUGCACAUGUCUUCCACUGCACCUCCUCUCGUGAAAUCUGGUUUGCACUAGAGCAGUGUUUUGCUGCUCAGUCUCGUGCACGAGUUGUACAGAUUUGAUCCCAACUCGCAACUGCAUGCAAAGGCAGUCAAUCUGCCAUGGAGUAUUUCAUGGGCAUCAAGAGGCUAACUGAUGAGUUAGCUAUCGCAGGACAAGCCAUACACAAUGAUGACAUCCUCACCUAUGUUCUUGCAGGACUUGGCCAAGAAUAUGACUCCCUGGUAGCCACCCUCUCUGCUUGCCAAGAUGUCACCUUCCGUGGACGUGGCCACGGACAUUCUACCAAUUUCAGAGGCAGGGGGCGCAACUCUUACAACAAUGGCCGCAGUGGUAAUUAUGGUCGAGGUAACAAUUCCAAUUCUAUUCAUGGUAACAAUGGCAAUACCCUGUGGUGCAACUCUGUGAAAAGCCUGGUCAUACGGUGCACAGGUGCUAUCACCGUUUUGAUAUUACCUACCUUCAGCCCACCAACCAAAAUGCCCAAGCAAUGGUUGCUUCCAACCAGCAGAAAACAGAUGCCAAUUGGCACCCCGACACAGGAUCAAUGCAUCAUAUGACCUCCGACUUCAAUCAACUCAAUCUGUGUGCUGAUGAGUACAAUGGAUCAGACCAAAUCCAAGUGGGCAACGGUGCAGGUUUGAAUAUUUCUCACUGUGGUAGUACCAAACUUAUAACCCCUUCACGUUCCUUUAUUCUUAAUCAGGUUCUUGUUGUCCCUGAAAUAAAAAAAAAACUCCUUUCCGUACAUAAAUUUGCUCAAGACAACCAUGUUUAUUUUGGAUUUCACGAUUUCUUUUUUGUGAUUAAGGACUACUUGGGGAGCAUCCUGCAUAAAGGUUAUCUCAAUGACGGCCUAUAUUGCUUUCUCAACCCUUGCAAAAAUUAGCUUCAGCUUUCAUUGGUAUCAAGCUUUUUGUUUCGGAUUGGCAUCGCCGUUUAGGUCAUGCUGCAUUUCCAGUUGUGCAACGUGUUCUAGCUGCAAAUAAAGUUUCAGUUGUUGAUAAUAAAAGACCAAUAGUGUGUUCUGAAUGUCAAAUGGCUAAAAGCCAUAACUUACUUUUCCAUGUUUCUCCUUUAACGUCCCCAAAACCUUUUGAUUUACUUUUCUCUGAUGUCUGGGGACCAACGUCUGUCUACUUAUGGGUUCAGAUAUUAUGUAAGUUUCGUUGAUGAUCAUACUAAAUUUAUCUAGCUAUUUUCUGUCAAACUCAAGUCUGAUGUUGAAUCUGUCUUUUUGCAAUUCCAGCAGUAUGUUGAGCGCCACUUCAACACUACAAUUAAAUCAAUUCAAACUGAUUGGGGUGGUGAGUAUAGACGCUUAAAUACGUACUUCAAAAAUACAGGAAUACAACAUCGUAUUGCCUAUCCUCACACCCAUGAAUAAAUAGGUUCAGUUGAAAGGCGUCACCGUCAGGUUGUCGAAAUGGGCCUCGCCCUAUUGGCACAUUCUCACCUUUCUCAAAAUUAUUAGGAAGACGCUUUUCUUACUGCUGCUCAUAUCAUAAAUCGACUUUCUACAAAAAUUCUUCAAUGUAAAUCCCCUUUUGAAAUGGUUUAUCAUAGGAAGCCUGAUUAUAUAUUUUUACGUGUGUUUGGGUGUGCAUGUUGGCCAAAUCUUAGAUCAUUCAAGAAACACAAAAUUGAUUUUAGAUCAAAAACAUGCAUUUUUCUUGGCUACAGCCUUUGCCAUCAGGGAUACAAGUGUCUUGACGUCACAACUAGGAAAGUAUUUAUCUCUAGGCAUGUUGUCUUCAACGAGACCUUAUUCCCUUACAAGUCUAAAGCCAAUGACACUCCCUCAUCACUCACACCCACUGUCACCUUACCCACAAGUAUCCAACCUUUCUCUAUUUUUCCUAUUUCAGCUACAAACCUUGCAGGUACUAUUCCUCACGCUGCGCCUGAAUCGCCACCACCUGCUCUCUUUGAUCCUUGUACUCAUCUCAAUGCCCAAACGUCUAAUGAUACGCCAGUUCCUACAAGGGAUGCUGAUAUUUCCAUUGAUCCAAUGGUGGACAACCCUCCUCCACCUUCUAGUGUGCCUAUUAUAGCCCCACCUCGACAUCAGAUGGUUACAAGAUCUAAAACAAACUCUCUUUGGCCCAAAACUCCCUUUGCUGGUAUGGUACAGUACCCCUUACCAAAGGCUUUGGUUGCUACCUCAGAUUCUUCUCUUGUAGAACCUUCGAGCUACACAGAAGCUAUGAAAAGUCCACAAUGGCGAGAAGACAUGAACAAAGAAUUUGAUGCUCUGCUUCGAAAUGGAACUUGGACAUUGGUUCCACCCCACGACAACAUCAAUUUAGUUGGCAAUAAAUGGGUCUUUCGGAUCGAACGCUAUGCUGAUGGUCGUCUUGAAUGAUUCGAGGCCAGAUUGGUGGCCAAAGGCUACCACCAACAGAGAGGGCUUGACUUCAAUGAGACUUUCUAUCCAGUAAUAAAACCUGCCACAAUACAUUUGGUGCUAUCUAUAUCAAUCCGAAGGAAUUGGCCACUGCGUCAAAUUAACAUUCAGGACGCGUUCCUCCACGGUGUUCUUGAAGAAGUAGUUUUUAUGUGCCAACCACAAAGUUUUGUUCAUCCUGACUAUCCGAACCAUAUCUUCGCCUUCACAAAAGUUUAUGUGGUCUUCGCUAAGGCGCCUCGAGCUUGGUUCUCUAAGCUUACUGAUCAGCUUCUUUCACUUAGUUUCCAAGCUUCACAGGCUGACAACUCUCUGUAUGUCCUACACAAUAGUCAAGUUAUCGUCUACUUUCUAAUUUACGUAGACAACAUUCUUCUCACUGGAUCAGAUAAUGUGUUCAUUGAUCGCAUUCUGAAGCAUUGAAGUAUGCAUUUUCCCAUCAAAGAUCUCGGCAAACUGAACUAUUUUCUUGGAGUUGAAGCAUUGGCUGCCCCUCACAGCCUCUUUAUAACUCAGCGGAAAUAUAUUGUUGACCUAUUGAAGAAAAUUGGCCUUGAUCAAGCCAAGCCCUGCCUCACCCCGAUGGCAACAUUGAGUGAUCUUUCAGCAUAUGAAGGCGCAGCUUUUGAAGACCCUCUGCUUUAUCGCAGCACCGUCGGAGCAUUACAAUACUUAUCUUUCACACGGCCAGAUAUAGCCUAUGUCGUUCAUCGGGUCGGCAAGUUCAUGCACUUAGCCAAGGAGCCCCACUGGCAAGCUGUAAAACGCAUUCUGCGUUAUCUCAAGAGUUCAGUUUCUCAUGGUUUACAUAUCACAGCUCAUUCCUCACAUGAUCUCCAAAGUUUUUCAGAUGCGGAUUGAGCCGGCGAUAAGGAUGAUCGCCGCUCUGUCAGUGCUUAUUGCAUUUUCUAUGGCAAAAACCUCAUUAGUUGGAGCUGUAAGCAGCAAAAUACACUCGCAAGAAGCAGCACCGAAGCUGAAUACAAAACCAUGUCUACUGCUGAACUUCAAUGGUUGCAAGCUCUUUUAACCGAUUUGCACAUGCCUUUAGCUCAACCAGCGAUCCUCUGGUGUGAUAACAUCAGGGCCACUUGCCUCUCCUCUAAUCCGGUGUUUCACGCGUGAACAAAGCAUAUUGAAAUAAGCUUCCAUCAUGUUCGCGAUCAGGUUCUCAGAAAACAGUUGAAGGUCUGUCUCAUCUCAUCCAAAGAUCAGUUAGCUGAUCUCUUAACAAAGCCGUUAGCAGGCAAACGGUUCGCUCAUCUUCGGAGCAAUCUUCGUGUACAUGAGCUGCCCACUCGAUUGCGGGGGCAUGUUGAAUCAGUCCACACAAAGGAGAUUGACUCUCCAGAACAAGAGGAGACCAAGUCUUCAGCUGAGAAGACGAAAUCCUAGGACUCUGGGCUGUUACUUGAGUAAUCUGAAUUCUGUUGAAAUAUCUUCUAAUUCUAGCCACAUAUCACAUAGAGUUUGUUACAUCACUCCUUCUAUAAAUUAGAAGGCUUGUACAUCAAAUCAGAAAGAUAACAAACAAAGAGAAAUGGAGUUUUUUUUUAACCUCAUCCUAUCAGUUUAAGCUUUUGGGAGAAGCGGUGAUUUCAACACUACUGCAAAAGAUUACCUCCAAAUUUAUAACAGAUCAUAAACAGGAUGCAGCUAAAGCAGAAGAUGUGCUAGUUCUUCAUAUGGAAGCAGGCCAAUUGGUAUGCAGAGGGACUUAAAUGAGGAAUUACAGUCCUGUUGGGAAUUACCUCAUAAGAAACUUCAAGAAAGGCUCUUGGGUGACUGGGCUCUUUAUGAAGUAACAUGUGAUUUUGUUGAAGCAGCAACUAAUGGCGCUAUUGGAGUCAUCAGCAGGCGUACACUUCCUAUCAAUCCAACCAAUCCAGUGUGUUUCCACAUGUGAGUACACUGAAGGAUGUGCAUAUGCAUGUUUCAUCUAUCUCCCUUUAAUCAGAUGACUGCUUAUUACCAAUCAAUGAUCAGAAAACUACAGGAUUUUACAUUCUUGGAGCCAACUUCUUCUCGGAGAAGCUAAUAUUUCAUAUUCUUGCUCUUUUCUAUCCAUGUUUUCUAUGCCCUUCUUAGAUGAAAUAUUUGAACUUUAACAAGUUAUUCAUGUGGUCUUAUAUAAUGAAGAAUUGUGUAUGGUUCUGUAUGCAUGUCUUAGAUUCUAAUCUCUAAUAGACAAUAUGUAACACUUUAAAGUAAGCUUAACUUAUAAUUUAUCUUGUAAUACAUCUGAUAUGCAACUAAAAAUGUUUGAAGUACUCAGGACUGCCCGAGUUUUGCUUUCUGUUUUAUUUAAGAUAGUGCCUCAAUGUAGUUUAGUACAGCAUGCUGUCAUCUUAGCUUUUGGUAUUCUAUUUUUACCAUGUCUUAUUAUUCUCCAAUUUUUUAAUGUCUUCAUGCAUGUACAAUGUACUUGCUUUUCAACAUAUAAUAAUAAUAUAAUAUUUCUCUCAUAUUUAUUAGUCAUGUGAUUUUUUUACUAACUAAUGCUUAUAGGUAUGUGCAUAAUAAUAUAUCUUUAGUUUUGCUGUGGAUGCCGACCUUGGACACAUGCCCAAAGGUCAUACAUUUAGUAUCAACUUAAGCUCCCAGACAUGCUGCACGUAGUGAGGAAAUAGUCACUAUACCAAAUUCUUCAGUAAUGUCGUCCUUCAAUUCGUUCAUUGGAAUAAAAUAGUCUCCUGUGUUGCAUAUACAUCCGAGAGCUCUCAUGCUGCAGGUACUGUUUGUAUUAAUUCAUCUGCUACUGCUGAGGCACAGAUUGCUUACUGUAAGCAGGCUACGUAUGCUUCUGAAAUAAUGAUUUGGAAGGAACCGGAGCUUGCCAAGAAGCUGAUGUUCCUGGAAUUUAUAAUCUCACCAUGGCAAUUAUUUUGAUUACAGAGGCCUUAUGGUGGUUGCUCAGGUGUGUACUAAGGAGAAAACAAUUUUAAUUUGAUUCUAAUAUUUGCGCAGGUCAAGAUAUGUUGUCUCAGUAUUGAGCCUCGUACUAAUGCCAUAUUGUCACUAUAUUGGUACGGUAUGGUAUGAGGCUGGUUUGGCGUACCAAGUAUUGAUAUGCCCUUCAUACCGUUUAUCGGUAUCAAAUCGGUAUGGUAUAGUACGCUCCGUACCUUUCGAUUCGGUACAGCAUGGUGAACCUUAGCACAAUUGCUCUAGCUAUAGUACCGACAUGUAUUGAUUGUUCAAGGGCUAUAUUGUUUGACAUUGCGAAUCAGUUUCUGUGACCUGUGGUUUAUUUAUUGUUAUUCUGGUGAAAUGGCUUUAUAUGGUUCAUCUGAUGAUUCCUUAAGGUAAUCAUUAUACAAUUCAGUGUUUUCACUAUUAUAACAUUUCUAAGUUAAAUUUAGACUGCUUGGUUCCUUUACAUCAUUAGAUUUCUCGCAUAUGAAGAAGAAACAUCUAGGUUCUCGGGCAGCCUUUGAUCUCUUCGAAAGAGUGGCAGCUGGUUAAAUGGAGGAAGAGAGAGGGAGAGAGAGGAGGCAGGCGAGGUGAAAGGUCAGGGACAAUAAAAAAUUGCAUUAGCGAAUGCUUCGUUGAUCUGAACUUCAUUUUGUAAAGCCACACUUGUAGGUGUGGUUUUGAUAUUUGAAACUACACUUAGAGCAUUCAUAAGUAUUUUCAACUGUGCAUAGCUGCAGAAUGAAGGAUCUUUUCGUCCAUUAAAUCCAAAAAAAUGAAAUUCCUGAUUGAUCUAAAAAAGAGGCACGAGUAGCAAUGAAAGUUCAUGGUAGAGUCGAGGGUCAGGCAACUUGCAUCAAGGACUAAUGAAAGAAGAAAAGGGAAACGUUUUGAGUUUAGUUACACAUGGAGUGUUUGUUCCCUGCUCGUUUGCUAUUGUUUUAUUAUUUAUUCCUCUUUUUAUCCAGGUAAAAAAAUUUGGUGUCACUCUAAUUGUAAGCCAUUUGUAGUUUUGUUGACAGUGCUUUUCUGUGGGUGCUUUGUUUUGAAUUUUGAGCAGUCAUCUUAGAACUUC